ACAGCAUAGACUGAAAGAGGCAAAAUGUAUUUCAUCUUUUCAUUUCAGAAGCAAAUUCAGCCUAAUAUAAAUGAGAGGCCUAUUCAGCCAUGACAACGUACCAUGAUGCAGAAGCACCACAGGUAAUCGUAGAACUAAAGUUUUCAGUCUCGGCUGUAAGACUGCACAAGCUUUUGGAGCCAACCCCUGUUAUGUCAGGAUAUGUUCAUCACCUGAAGUCAGUUCUUGAAAUAUUACUUCAAGAAAACAACUGAUACUUUGGCAGUUAAUAAAGAGUACCACAGCUUUCAAAAUGCAUUUAAAUUUCUCUUUCUACAAUGUAUUCUUCUUCUUUUACUCCUGUGCCAUAUCAGUGGUGACAUUACUUUUUGAACAUCUGCAUCAGGAUCCCUAAGGGCCAGAUUUUCUAAGCUGAGCACGUACACAUAAGAAGCAAAGGAAUAAAAGUAUCAGGUAUGAAGAUUCAUAUUUUCAAUCAGUCAUACAGACUGUCAUAGAGAAGCAAAUAUGACCUGCAAUAGGAAGAAUUUCCAUAUUAUGAUGUACAAUCUGGGAGAGACUGCUAGGCGAAAAUGAGGGCAACAUCUAUUGUUAUUGUUUUGACUUCUGUCCCAUGGGAACACUGUUCCAAAACUGUAAUUUUAAAAUCUCUGUCAUGUUUUUUCUGUCCUUUCCCAUUUCUGGUGGAUGAACGGGAGAAGAAAGUGACUAAAUAGAAGCCACAGUUCAGUCAACAGUGCUGAACAGAUGUUGGAAGAAAAGUUUUGUGAAGAAGUACGACCAGAUUUUGUACAUAAAAGUAAAGUAAGGAACAUUCACCCUCUUCAGCAGAUGUAGGGCCUCCAGCUCUAUCUCUCUUGCUUUCCAGUAACUCACAGAAGCAAACAAGCCCUCACAGCCAGAUACAAGUCCUUGAGGCAACAAUAUUAAGAGCAGAAAGAUGAGAAGAAUGCCAAGCAUCUCAGUGCAAAUGGAUAUACUGGACUCUUGACAGAUAAAUGAUAGCUCAAAACACAAUCAACAGGGCAAAGGAAGGACCCAAAAGUAAUUACAAAGGUCACUCAUUAGCGAGCAGUACGGGUGAGAAUAAGGAAGACAAAUGGAACAAGAAAUAAAAGUGUAAGGAACAAUAUGCACAGACACUGCAAGCUUAAUCUGCAGAAAACAAAGGACAUCUCCAAGUAGAAGCAGCAUCUCUCACAACACCUGUCCAACUGUUUUAAGAAAAGUCAGCUCAUAAACCAUAAAAUAAGAUGCAAGAAAUACCUUAAAUGAUCUGAAAACUCUUGUAAGAUAAGAAAAAGAAAACUGAAAAAGAUCUGAAGAUAAGUUUUCUAUUUCGCCCUUGACUUCUCUGGUCCAUUAAGUUACAUCUUGCCUUUGCCUUUUCUAUACUGAUAGCAAACUGGUGUGAUAUUAUCAGGUUUCUUAUCCCUCACCUGUGUUUUCUGCAAGCCCAGUUACUAAUGCUCGCUUCAAUUAAUCAUCCUUUCACCUCUCGUAGUUCUUUAAAUUGCUAUUUGUAAAGUAUAUGAAGGUUGAAGGUUUUGUACUAUUAAUGUUUUCAUGAAGCAUAUGGGAAAUGCAUCUGCAUUUCCUCAGCUACACAGCUUUUUUACUUGCAGAACAUUUCCACAGAGGGAAGCAGCAGGCACAAAUGAGCAGGAGAAGCUCCCCAGACUCUGUGAAUGUCUCUUAAAAAUCAGGAUGAAAUCACGACCCUACUGCUCAUUCCAAUACAGGCACUUAAUACUACAUUAAGGAAAAAUAUUGACUGUUUGAAACCAAAUACAGCUUAGAAGCUGCAGAAUCCUGCUGUACAGAAUUUGCUAAAAAAUUAGCAUACUCCUAAAUAGUGUUAUUGAAUAUUUAACAGGUUUCCAUCACUUUUAUCUCCCACUACCCCAAAUAAAAUAUUACAUGCGGCGUAAUUUUAUUUCACAAAACAACAAACUUUGAGGACACAAAUGGACAAUGUAAUACAUCUACUGUCUUUCUUGAAAAAAAAUGAAUUUCCCUUUUCAGUAUUAGGAUUCAAGAAGAGAUGGAGCUUCCAGUAGAUCUUAAGGUGUCAGUAGUGAAACAAUAUAAUUCUUGAAUUAUGAAAUAGAGUUUUUGUCUGUUGGCUUUAUGAAGAUGACUUUGGCAUAAAAAAGCAUUAUGUUACAUUUUCAAAGCUGUUAUUAAUUCAAUACAAGGCCAAGAGCUCACUAGCAAUGCACUUAUCUUUCUCUAUUUUCCUCAAAAUCCAUAUGAUGAAAAUAUAAGCUGGUUUCCUUUAGUAGCCACAAACAUUUUCAGUUAACUACAUGCUGUUAGUCCAACUGAUGACCACUGACUCUGGUACAGCCAGUAAUUUAUGACAUCUGCUAUUCUCAGAAAAGAAGAACAAAGCACUGAUCAUGUCAGCCUGGGAUGCUUUAUUUCAAGACGUUUAAAACUUAUCAGUAAAAAUGCUCAGACUUAUUUUCAGAGAGAAAAAUAGCAGGUUGUGUGUUAAGUGUACAUAAAACAAUUAGCUGAAGAAAGCAACUUUGUUCUGGUGGGAACUCCACUAGCUAGCCAUUCUGCCAAAGAUUUAUUCUACCAUUUUGCAAGUAUACGUACUUCCUUUACAGAGCUGGCGCUGUACAGCGGUCUAUACAUACAUAAUGCUUUAAAAGUUCCAACUUGAAAAAGCAGUAGUAGAACAAUGCUUAGUGACUUAGUGACUUCAUUGUCAAGUUGAAGUUAAGCUGAACAUGUACAAAAACUGUCCAUAGCUUUCAGUUUAAACUUCAGACACGUAGGUUCAUUAGAAAAAAAGAUUUAUGGUACUUUCUUCAUACCAUGUCAGUUCAAUUAAUUCUGUUUGAAAAAUGGAGAACACCAGACUAUAGAACUCUUUAAUUUUUUAAAGUAUUAAGUAAUGCAACAGAUCUCACAAAUUCAAUCUGAAUUAUGAGACAUUCCUUCAUCCCACUAUGAGACCACCCUUCGGGCUAUCUACAUCUAUAUCUCUGUAGUACAUGUACCAGUUUUAAAAGUAAACCUGUAGUUCAAAAAAAGAACAUAAAUCGCCAAAGUGUUGUGAAUAGAAUCCAUGUCAAUUUUCUUCAAUUUCUUUGGCUGAGAUUUAAGGCUAUAUGCCAAAACCACUGAACAUGUGACACACCGAAUUAGGAUUGCCAUUAAAUCAAACUGUAAUUUACAGUGUCACGAAGAACAGGCAUUCCCCAAACGAUUACUCUUCUUUAUUUACUACUUACUUACAAAAUUUUCAUGUGUAAAGAGAAGGGUGAUAUAUAAUGGAGAAAUAAACUGAGUUGCAAAAUCAUGUUAACCACAGGGCAAAACUGAAAAGACUUUUUUGUGUGUUUGCUUUAUAUAGUUUUCUGAAUCCUUGUUACAAGGACAAAAGACAUUUAAAAUGUUUUGUUUUGGGAAACUGCUUCCCUUCAGCUGGUUGAGAUGCUCUACAAUGCUGCUGCCACAAAUUCUACAGGAAACCAAACAAUGACUCGAGUCUCAAAGUUGGCCAUUUUGCUUCCACGAUACCCACAUUCUAGUGUUACUCUUUUUUUUUUUUUUCUUCCAAUUACUAAUCUCAUAUCUGAUUUUCCAGAUUGGGCUUUCAUUCUAGGGCUAAAACUAAAGUAGCAUCCAGCUAAAUCAAUCAGCUGGUGAAGCACCAACAAUGCAGAGUUGCAGUCAGCCCAUAUACACUACUCCAAAAACACGUCAAACAGUGCAAAGGCUUCCCAGAAUUAUCCUGAGGCUACUGGUACCAACUACAAAACAGCCAACUACAUCUUGUUUAAUUCUCUAGGCUACAUUCGCAAUUUUUUUGUACCCAAUUCAGAUAACAACUUACAUCUUAGAAUGGCUUAAAAAUAGUCUCUAGAAACACAGUCAACUGUAUUUUCCCUGAGUUGAAUUCUAACUUGCCACCAAUAGUUAUGAUAUUUUCCAAGAUGAUGUUAACACAAGUAUACCUUCAAGAUGACACUGGUGUUGUGCUAGAGACAUAAGGAGGCAGUAGCACAGCUUCACUCCCUCUGAGAAGGUGUCAGUGCAUUCUGCUACCUAUAUCCUAUUGGGACUCGACAUUGUAAACCUGUAGAAGACUGAAGUCCCGGAUGUCUUACAGAAACCCAUCUGGAUGCCAAAAGGAUGUCUUAAAUAACAUUUCCUUUCAGGCAAUGAGAAUGCAUUGAUAUACUGACUCAGUACACAUUGUAUACCACAGCCUAAAUCGUUUAUCCACCAUGUGGAAAUAAAGCUAAGCAUUGAGUUCCAAAAGCCUUCAAACCCCAUUUAGCGAACGUGGACAGUGAAGAUGUUGGAGCACACACUAAGUAAGAGUACACGUUAUAGCAAAAUUGCACUGAAGCUGUGCAGUGCGAAUUUGUUUCACAGGAUCCCUGUCCCUACAGUUACAGUCUUCAGCUCUAUAUUCUGCUUAGAAAUAGAAAUGUAUGGGUUUGAGGGCUUUUUUCUAUUAAAACAAACAAAAAAAAAACCAAAAAACUCUAGAAACAACCAAAACACUAUGACAAAAAAAAAAAAAGUGUGAAAACUUUGAAACAGAUCAAAAGUACAGUGACUUAUUUGAUCUAAUUUGCUUUAAAAGCCAGUACUGAAAUAUUUCACAUACUUUGCUCUCACAUAAAAAAAUUAUUGUGCAAUUUCCCUCUUUCCCCCAACCCUGAAAACUCUACGAAAGUGACUCCUGCUUUCUUUCCUGUAAAAAGCAUCCUAGAUCUAAAUCAACAGAUUCACAAUUAUGGAGCGAUACUCUGUUCUGUGUUGAGCUGAGUUCACUUAAACUCAUCAUCAAAAUGUACAAUACACAGAAUUAUUUUGUGGCUCUUGUAGUUCUUGUGUUUGUAGGAAAUUAAUAUUCUGACAAGGUACAGUUUGAGUGUGACUUAAUUCACAAAUGAUAUCAACAGUAAAAUAAAUCAUGUUACAUACUAAGA